GGUUCUAUAGUGUAGCUGGUCAUCACAUCGGAUUCUGAUUCUCUCGUCAGUAUCCUUCCGGGAACUCUGGUUCGAAUCCAGAUAGGACCU